CGGAGGGAUCAUUGCUGGAACGCGCCCCAGGCGCACCCAGAAACCCUUUGUGAACUUAUACCUUACUGUUGCCUCGGCGCAUGCCGGCCCCCCUGGGGGCCCCUCCUUCUGGAGGAGCAGGCACGCCGGCGGCCAACCUAACUCUUGUUUUUACACUGAAACUCUGAGAAUAAAACAUAAAUGAAUCAAAACUUUCAACAACGGAUCUCUUGGUUCUGGCAUUGAUGAAGAACGCAGCGAAAUGCGAUAAGUAAUGUGAAUUGCAGAAUUCAGUGAAUCAUCGAAUCUUUGAACGCACAUUGCGCCCUCUGGUAUUCCGGAGGGCAUGCCUGUUCGAGCGUCAUUUCAACCCUCAAGCCUGGCUUGGUGAUGGGGCACUGCUUUUACCCAAAAGCAGGCCCUGAAAUUCAGUGGCGAGCUCGCCAGGACCCCGAGCGCAGUAGUUAAACCCUCGCUCUGGAAGGCCCUGGCGGUGCCCUGCCGUUAAACCCCCAACUUCUGAAAAUUUGACCUCGGAUCAGGUAGGAAUACCCGCUGAACUUAAGCAUAUCAAUAAGCGGAGGA
rnacentral:rRNA from 1 species